UGGUUAAAAAGCUCGUAGAUGGAUCUCAACAGCCUUGAAGCGGUUAACUUUGUAGUUUUACUGCUUUAUAGGCUGUGCUUUUGCUGGAGGUUUAGGGGUGCUCUUGAUCGAGUGUCUCUGGAUGCCAGCAGGUUUGCUUUGAAAAAAUUAGAGUGCUCAAAGCAGGCUAAAAUGCCUGAAUAUUCGUGCAUGGAAUAAUAGAAUAGGAUGUCGAUCCUAUUUUGUUGGUUUUCGGGACUCGACAUAAUGAUAAAUAGGGACAGUCGGGGGCAUUUGUAUUCAAACGACAGAGGUGAAAUUCUUGGACCGUUUGAAGACAAACUACUGCGAAAGCAUUUGCCAAGAAUGUUUUCAUUAAUCAAGAACGAAAGUUAGAGGUUCGAAGGCGAUUAGAUACCGCCCUAGUUCUAACCAUAAACGAUGCCAGCUAGCGAUCUGCCUGCGUUUUUACUGUAGACUGGGCAGGAAGCUUCCGGGAAACCAAAGCAUUUGGGUUCCAGGGGAAGUAUGGUUGCAAAGCUGAAACUUAAAGGAAUUGACGGAAGGGCACCACCAGGAGUGGAGCCUGUGGCUUAAUUUGACUCAACACGGG
rnacentral:rRNA from 1 species